AGUGAACGCUGGCGGCAGGCCUAACACAUGCAAGUCGAGCGGCAGCGCGGGGGCAACCCUGGCGGCGAGCGGCGGACGGGUGAGGAAUUCGUCGGAAUCUGCCUUUUUGUGGGGGAUAACGUAGGGAAACUUACGCUAAUACCGCAUACGUCCUACGGGAGAAAGUGGGGGACCGCAAGGCCUCACGCAGAAAGAUGAGCCGACGACCGAUUAGCUAGUUGGUGGGGUAAAGGCCCACCAAGGCGACGAUCGGUAGCUGGUCUGAGAGGAUGAUCAGCCACACUGGGACUGAGACACGGCCCAGACUCCUACGGGAGGCAGCAGUGGGGAAUAUUGGACAAUGGGCGCAAGCCUGAUCCAGCCAUGCCGCGUGUGUGAAGAAGGCAUUCGGGUUGUAAAGCACUUUUGUCCGGAAAGAAAUCCCUGGAGCUAAUACCUUCGGGGGAUGACGGUACCGGAAGAAUAAGCACCGGCUAACUUCGUG
rnacentral:rRNA from 1 species